rnacentral:rRNA from 1 species
GAGUUUGAUCCUGGCUCAGGAUGAACGCUGGCGGCGUGCUUAACACAUGCAAGUCGAGCGAAGUGCUUACGACAGAACCUUCGGGGGAAGAUGUAAGGGACUGAGCGGCGGACGGGUGAGUAACGCGUGGGUAACCUGCCUCAUACAGGGGGAUAACAGUUGGAAACGACUGCUAAUACCGCAUAAGCGCACGGUAUCGCAUGAUACAGUGUGAAAAACUCCGGUGGUAUGAGAUGGACCCGCGUCUGAUUAGCUAGUUGGAGGGGUAACGGCCCACCAAGGCGACGAUCAGUAGCCGGCCUGAGAGGGUGAACGGCCACAUUGGGACUGAGACACGGCCCAGACUCCUACGGGAGGCAGCAGUGGGGAAUAUUGCACAAUGGGGGAAACCCUGAUGCAGCGACGCCGCGUGGAGGAAGAAGGUCUUCGGAUUGUAAACUCCUGUUGUUGAGGAAGAUAAUGACGGUACCUGACUAAGAAGCCCCGGCUAACUACGUGCCAGCCGCCGCGGUAAUUC